rnacentral:rRNA from 1 species
UACGGGGGGGGCAAGCGUUGUUCGGAAUUACUGGGCGUAAAGGGCUCGUAGGCGGCCAACUAAGUCAGACGUGAAAUCCCUCGGCUUAACCGGGGAACUGCGUCUGGUACUGGAUGGCUUGAGGUUGGGAGAGGGAUGCGGAAUUCCAGGUGUAGCGGUGAAAUGCGUAGAUAUCUGGAGGAACACCGGUGGCGAAGGCGGCAUCCUGGACCAAUUCUGACGCUGAGGAGCGAAAGCCAGGGGAGCAAAGCGGG